UGAUUUAUUUAAUAUCUUAUGGUUGGCGGCAGUGGGGAAUUUUGGACAACUCCCCCAACCAUGAUCCAGCAAUGCCGCGUGUGUGAAGAAGGCCUUCGGGUUGUAAAGCACUUUUGUCCGGAAAGAAAACCUCCGUCCUAAUACGGUGGGGGGAUGACGGUACCGGAAGAAUAAGCACCGGCUAACUACGUGCCAGCAGCCGCGGUAAUACGUAGGGUGCAAGCGUUAAUCGGAAUUACUGGGCGUAAAGCGUGCGCAGGCGGUUCGCUAAGACCGAUGUGAAAUCCCCGGGCUUAACCUGGGAACUGCAUUGGUGACUGGCGGGCUAGAGUAUGGCAGAGGGGGGUAGAAUUCCACGUGUAGCAGUGAAAUGCGUAGAGAUGUGGAGGAAUACCGAUGGCGAAGGCAGCCCCCUGGGCCAAUACUGACGCUCAUGCACGAAAGCGUGGGGAGCAAACAGGAUUAGAUACCCUGGUAGUCCACGCCCUAAACGAUGUUAAAGGGUUGUCGGGUCUUCAUUGACUUGGUAACGAAGCUAACGCGUGAAGUGACCGC
rnacentral:rRNA from 1 species